rnacentral:rRNA from 1 species
GACGAACGCUGGCGGCGUGCUUAACACAUGCAAGUCGAGCGGUAAGGCCCUUUCGGGGGUACACGAGCGGCGAACGGGUGAGUAACACGUGGGUGACCUGCCUUUAGCUCUGGGAUAAGCCUGGGAAACUGGGUCUAAUACCGGAUAUGACUCCGCGGUGCAUGCUGUGGGGUGGAAAGCCUUGUGCGGCUGGAGAUGGGCCCGCGGCCUAUCAGCUUGUUGGUGGGGUGAUGGCCUACCAAGGCGACGACGGGUAGCCGGCCUGAGAGGGCGACCGGCCACACUGGGACUGAGACACGGCCCAGACUCCUACGGGAGGCAGCAGUGGGGAAUCUUGGACAAUGGGCGCAAGCCUGAUCCAGCCAUGCCGCGUGAGUGAAGAAGGCCUUAGGGUUGUAAAGCUCUUUUACCAGGGACGAUAAUGACGGUACCUGGAGAAUAAGCCCCGGCAAACUUCGUGCCAGCAGCCGCGGU